rnacentral:rRNA from 1 species
UACGUAGGGUGCGAGCGUUGUCCGGAAUUAUUGGGCGUAAAGGGCUCGUAGGCGGUUUGUCGCGUCGGGAGUGAAAACCAGGUGCUUAACACCUGGCUUGCUUUCGAUACGGGCAGACUAGAGGUAUGCAGGGGAGAACGGAAUUCCUGGUGUAGCGGUGAAAUGCGCAGAUAUCAGGAGGAACACCGGUGGCGAAGGCGGAUCUCUGGGCCUUACCUGACGCUCAGGCGCGAAAGCUAGGGGAGCGAACAGG